AAUUUUUCGACAUAACCAAGAAUCAAAGUUAACUAAUGCAUGAAAGGAUUUUUUCUGUUUGUCUGUACCAUCAUUUAUGUAUGUUUAUCUGGACCAUCAUUUUACAAAAGUUAUCAUUAGUGAAGUUUAUGAUUUGGCACAGGAUUCCUAAUUACCAUAGUAAAAGAAUCGAAUCGAAUAACCAUAACGAGAAAACCUCACAUUCUGCUCCUGAGGAAGGAAUGAACACAUUCCGAAAGCUCGAGUAUAAAGAAUAAAGAGUGAUCCAUUCGUUUUUGACUGCAAUCCCAAAUAACCCCCAAUCUGAAUAUAAGAAAACAGUCGAUACCUUU